rnacentral:rRNA from 1 species
GACGUAGGGUGCAAGCGUUGUCCGGAUUUAUUGGGCGUAAAGAGCUCGUAGGCGGCUUGUUGCGUCGACUGUGAAAACCCGCGGCUUAACCGCGGGCUUGCAGUUGAUACGGGCAGGCUAGAGUUCGGUAGGGGAGACUGGAAUUCCUGGUGUAGCGGUGAAAUGCGCAGAUAUCAGGAGGAACACCGGUGGCGAAGGCGGGUCUCUGGGCAACAACUGACGCUGAGGAGCGAAAGCGUGGGGAGCGAACAGG